AUGGGAUGGAGCUGCAUCAUUUUCUUCCUAUUGUCAGUAAUUACAGGUGUCCACUCCCAGGUCCAGCUGGAGCAGUCUGGUCCUGAACUCGGGAAACCUGGGGCCUCAGUGAAGCUGUCCUGCAGGGCUUCAGGCUACACUUUCACUGACUACUAUAUUAACUGGGUGAAGCAGAGGCCUGGACAGGGCCUGGAGUGGAUUGGAAGUAUUGAUCCUGAAAAUGAUGUUACUGGCUACAAUCAGAAGUUCCAGGGCAAGGCCACACUGACUGCAGACACAUCCUCCAGCACAGAUACAUGGAGCUCAGCAGCCUGA